rnacentral:lncRNA from 1 species
UGCUUUGCAAAAGGUUCACCAUCGCCCUUAAGUUGCUGUGGGUUUUACGGUUUUACUUCCAACCUGGCAUAUAAAUGCACUUAGUAUCUGAAGUUAUUUGUCAUUAACUGGUGAUCAGACUAUUUCAAACGAAUAAGUUUUUAAGGGCUGAGAAGGUGAAAGAUAGAAGUCUGCAGACUGCAACGCAAAUCAAUUUUCAACACAUGGUUUCCUGAAUAUAUUUAGUUUUCGAUUGAAAUGAGAAUAAACUGAACUUAAAGAUAUGUUGAAAAUUAACUAUUUUAUAUUUAAAACAUUCGCUAAACGCAAGUGAAGCAAUAAUCUA